AUGUACGGAAGCNNGAUGAGAGUCGAGUGUGCCCGAAAGGGAGCCGUAACACAGGUGCUGCAUGGCUGUCGUCAGCUCGUGUCGUGAGAUGUUGGGUUAAGUCCCGCAACGAGCGCAACCCUUGUCACUAGUUGCUACGCAAGGGCACUCUAGUGAGACUGCCGGUGACAAACCGGAGGAAGGUGGGGAUGACGUCAAGUCCUCAUGGCCCUUAUGGGUAGGGCUUCACACGUCAUACAAUGGCGCAUACAGAGGGCUGCAACCCGCGAGGGGGAGCCAAUCCCAGAAAGUGCGUCGUAGUCCGGAUUGCAGCUGAACUCUACUGCAUGAAGUCCGAAUCUCUAGUUAUCGCGAUCAGCAUUUUCUGCGGUGAAUCGUUNCGGCCUUGACACACCGCCGUCACACCAUGGGAGUUGCUGCCCAUAACAGGUAGUCUAACCGCAAGGAGGACGCCUCCACGGGUGGUCAAUGACUGGGGUG
rnacentral:rRNA from 1 species